UACAUGUAUUCCGUUACUCCCCAACACUGCCUACAAGAAAGUACUUCCUAUGGCUAUUGGAUCUCAAGUUAACUAUGUGCUUUUUCAAGGGCUAAAAAGAUACGUAUGUAUGUUCACAAGCUGUGAAAGGUACCUACUUUAGCAAUAUUUGUAGAGCGUCCAUUUACAUUUAUAUUUCUUGAUAAACUAAGCUGCAAAACUGCCACCAGAAGAUCAACACUGGUCUCUGUAAUGUACAAACCACAAGGGUAUGAGUCAGUAUGGUCUCAUUUAAGAAAUUAUCACCCCACUGACAAGCCAUUGUAUCCCUAAAGAUAUAAUAAGGUACUUUAAUUUCUGAGUGUGUAGCAUGUGGCUGUGUUAUCACCUCUCCGCUAAUUGGAGCCAGUGUUUCCUUUGCUUUGGUGAUGUCAGCCUUACAGCAUUGUUUCUGGGAACUUAGGGGGGAAAUUUAUAUUGAAGGAUAAAAGAGUCCAUUUUUCCUCUUUACUUAAUGCGCUUUUUUUUCUAGCACAAGACCUUCGAGGCAAUUCUGACGUUCAUUUGAGACUUGUAUUAUUUAUAACUUUGAUUUAGAUGAAAAACACUGUUGGGGUGCUUUGUCUGGUGAAAAAAAGGUCUCUCUCGCAUCACCGCAGCUCUUAAAAGUCCACCUUGUGGUUUAAGUCAUUGACCCUCCCUCUCCUCUAUUCAUCGUUCAACAAAUGGCGAUGCCCGGAGAGAGGCUUGCCUCUAUUCCCUGCUGCGCUUUCCAUUAGAAGUACUGACACACAAUAGAGCAUUUUUAAGCCGUUGACAUUGCCAUUGUAAUGGACUGGGGUCAUGGCAUUAUAUGUAGGAUGUAAUGCAUAAAACGCUGGUUAAGUACACACUGCUGUUCUUUAUGGCUUUCAAAUUAUAGGGAAAUCUUUUCACCUUUGUUCAAGGUGCUGCUGCGCAGGAGUUCACAUGAAUUCAUUAUCCUCGAGUUAAUCAUGUGACCCCGUGACCCAGCGCACACAGCGCAGGGAUACUCAUUCAUAUAUAGCAGACCCAAGGUUCCAUGGCGACAUUUAUUGGAAAAGCAAUUAAUUGAAAAACACACAGUCAGAGGAACGUCGGCGCUAGUGUCACUGCUGUCACCAAGUGAAUUCACUAUAUGGAUUUCAGACUGCUCUGUGACUAUUUCACACAACGUGAUUUUCACAGGUUGUUUUCAGGAGUUUGACACUUUGACACAGCUUAGCAUAAAGACUAGAAUUGGACCGGUCUGCAAGUGAACUACCGCUUGAAGCUCUGUGCUGGUGCUGGAGACCUUAUUUGGCUAGGAGGAGAGAGCAGAGGAGAGGACGAGCGCGGCAGAUUAAUGAGACUCCAUAAGAGCAGGAAAGGUGAAGAAGAGGCAGACAGAAGUGACGGAGUUUAAAAGGGGCCGAGAUCGUAGAAUAGAAGCAGGAGCUCUGAGACCAGGACUCUCACUCAUGCAACCCACCUCCUCUAAUCACCACCUCACUAGGAGCUCCAUCCAAGCCUGAAUCUUCAUCUUCACCAGCACUAGUGUCCAGACACCAGUGGGUCCUGCUGUAAAUCCUAUCACCGCUGGGACUUCGUAUAGCUGUGAUGCAGUUUGCCUUUCUCUCCAGAGAGCAGUGUUCUUCUGUUGCACAAUUAAGCUCUGUAAGUAGCUCACCCAACAUUGAUUGCGUGUGUACAGACACAUCCAGCUGUUCAUAUUGUUUCCAGAGUCGAGGACCUUCAGGAUGGCUACCAAAGGGUCCAUUACCAACACCUGAAGGUUGCACGUGUGAAAACCGCAGCCGCUCAGCGCUGCAGUUAAAGCAAACCUGGCUGAGUGAUGACAGAGUAUUUGAGGCAGAUGCGAGCCACACAGUGAGAGUCCUCACGCUGACACUCUCCACUCCCUGCUAUCAACCAUCAGACAUGAUUACAGCUCCCGCUUCUUGAUCCAGUGCCUGGCUGA